GACGGAGGGUGCUAGCGUUGUUCGGAAUCACUGGGCGUAAAGGGCGCGUAGGCGGCCAGGCAAGUCGGCUUUGUGAAAGCCCGGGGCUCAACCUCGGAACUGCCUUCGAUACUGCGGGUCUCGAGUCCGGGAGAGGUGAGUGGAAUUCCUAGUGUAGAGGUGAAAUUCGUAGAUAUUAGGAAGAACACCAGUGGCGAAGGCGGCUCACUGGCCCGGUACUGACGCUGAGGCGCGAAAGCGUGGGGAGCAAACAGG
rnacentral:rRNA from 1 species